CUAAGGUAGCGAAAUUCCUUGUCGGGUAAGUUCCGACCUGCACGAAUGGCGUAAUGAUGGCCAGGCUGUCUCCACCCGAGACUCAGUGAAAUUGAACUCGCUGUGAAGAUGCAGUGUACCCGCGGCAAGACGGAAAGACCCCGUGAACCUUUACUAUAGCUUGACACUGAACAUUGAGCCUUGAUGUGUAGGAUAGGUGGGAGGCUUUGAAGUGUGGACGCCAGUCUGCAUGGAGCCGACCUUGAAAUACCACCCUUUAAUGUUUGAUGUUCUAACGUGGGCCCCUAAUCGGGGUUGCGGACAGUGUCUGGUGGGUAGUUUGACUGGGGCGGUCUCCUCCUAAAGAGUAACGGAGGAGCACGAAGGUUGGCUAAUCCUGGUCGGACAUCAGGAGGUUAGUGCAAUGGCAUAAGCCAGCUUGACUGCGAGCGUGACGGCGCGAGCAGGUGCGAAAGCAGGUCAUAGUGAUCCGGUGGUUCUGAAUGGAAGGGCCAUCGCUCAACGGAUAAAAGGUACUCCGGGGAUAACAGGCUGAUACCGCCCAAGAGUUCAUAUCGACGGCGGUGUUUGGCACCUCGAUGUCGGCUCAUCACAUCCUGGGGCUGAAGUAGGUCCCAAGGGUAUGGCUGUUCGCCAUUUAAAGUGGUACGCGAGCUGGGUUUAGAACGUCGUGAGACAGUUCGGUCCCUAUCUGCCGUGGGCGCUGGAGAACUGAGGGGGGCUGCUCCUAGUACGAGAGGACCGGAGUGGACGCAUCACUGGUGUUCGGGUUGUCAUGCCAAUGGCACUGCCCGGUAGCUAAAUGCGGAAGAGAUAAGUGCUGAAAGCAUCUAAGCACGAAACUUGCCCCGAGAUGAGUUCUCCCUGAGACUUAGAGUCUCCUGAAGGAACGUUGAAGACGACGACGUUGAUAGGCCGGGUGUGUAAGCGCAGCGAUGCGUUGAGCUAACCGGUACUAAUGAACCGUGAGGCUUAACCUU
rnacentral:rRNA from 1 species